CUUCGCCUUCGAGGUGGCGCGGCUUCGGCGGAUGCAGGGAGGACUGUCCUGUACUCCUCUCUCCGGCGCCGGCGACGGCGACGGCGAGGAGAGGUAUUUCCGGGCAGGGGCGCUGGAGUAGGGAGCGGGGAAGCGGCGGGGGUUCUGGCCUCCUGCGGCAGUUGGCCACGAACAGAGAAACCCAGAACGCCAGCGAAGCCAAGAUGGUCUUCUCUCAACGUUCUUCGCUCCUUGUUCUUUGUUUUUUUU
rnacentral:rRNA from 1 species